UUAGGAAUUUUGCGCAAUGGAGGAAACUCUGACGCAGCCACGCCGCGUGAGGGAUGAAGGCCUUCGGGUCGUAAACCUCUUUUCUCAGGGAAGACACCCGACGGUACCUGAGGAAUAAGCAACGGCUAACUACGUGCCAGCAGCCGCGGUAAUACGUAGGUUGCGAGCGUUGUCCGGAUUUACUGGGCGUAAAGCGCGCGCAGGCGGUCCUGAAAGUCGAGCGUGAAAGCUCCCGGCCCAACUGGGAGAGGCCGUUCGAAACUUCAGGACUUGAAGACGGGAGAGGCAAAUGGAAUUUCCGGUGUAGCGGUAAAAUGCGUAGAUACCGGAAGGAACACCAGUGGCGAAAGCGAUUUGCUGGCCCGUCCUUGACGCUCAGGCGCGAAAGCUAGGGGAGCGACCGGG
rnacentral:rRNA from 1 species